AUGACUUUGAGCUCCAUCCUCAUCUGGACUCUCCUCUGCUGCUGCUUGACAGAGUCCAGAGGCCAGGUCACAGUGACUCAGCCUGGAGCAGUGAGGGCUGCUCUGGGAGCCUCCGUCACCAUCACAUGUAAAACCAGUCAGGAUGUUCAUGUGUGGAACAGCAAACACAUUUUAGCCUGGUACCAACAGAGAGAUGGAGAAGCUGCUAAACUCCUCAUUUACUAUGCUAAUACUCGAGAAUCAGGGAUUCCAGGUCGUUUCACAGGCAGUGGAUCAGGGAGUGACUUCACUCUGACCAUCAGUGGAGUCCAGGCUGAAGAUGCAGCAGUUUACUACUGUCAGAGUCAACAUUAUAUCAAUAGUAAAGCUCUGUUCACACAGUGA